UGAGAAAUCCUAUGUUAAAAGGUGCCAAAAAUGCAAAAAUGUCAAAAUAUCGAAAAUUAAAUUUCAAUAACUCAAUACAUAUUAUACAUCGUUAGAAUCGUAAUAAGGUCAGCUAUCCGAAUCUGUAAUCUUUUUGUAAAAAUUUGUUUAAAUGAUAAAGUAAUUGAGCAUUUGGCAAAAUUUCACGAUUUUUCGACUUUUUUCGAUUUUCAGUCCCUUUUUUAUCGUAUUCCAGACAUUUCAAAGUCUUAUUGGAUGGCAUAAUUCACAAGACUAUCGAAUGGACUCUCGAUAGAGAAAGUUAAAAAAAAAAGUUGCGGUUAAGAUUUCGAGAUACAGGCGUCCAAAAACGCCCCAAAUCAGAAAAUACUUGAUUUUCAGCUUGUCAUAUUUUGCUGCUUGGUCAUAGUAUCCGUAUAAAUUGGGCAUCAUACGACAGUCCAUUCCUCGGGCCACUCAACCAAAGCUUAAUUCGUUUAAUCCAUUGAUAUUGGACGGAGAAAUCAAGUUUUUUCCCCAUAACACCCAUUUUUUGCUUUUUUUUCGAAAUAUCUAUCAUAUAUUUCGACCACUUCCGGUUUCCGGAUCGUUGUUGAAAUUGUUUUAUGCAGCGGUCUGACUAUAUAGCUUUAUGUUCCAGGACUUUCAGAAAUAUCGAUUUAUCCUUUCAAAAAAAUAUAAGGGUUGGGAAAUGGGCAGAAAAUUCGAAAGAAAUCGAAAAAUAAAGGUCGACAACUCGGAAUGAAAAUUAUAUUUCUGGAAUCGGAUUGUCUUCAGGUAUCCAAAAAUGUAGGUCAAAUUUGAAAAUUUUUAAAAAUAACAAAAAUUGUCUCGCAAACAAUGUAUUUUCAAAAUUCGAACGAAAAAAGCCAUAGAUGCAUGUUCGAAAUUGAAAAAUGUGAGAUAGCCAUUAUCUCGGAAAAGAUUCGGGUUUUCCGAAAAUGUCAUUCUGAAAAUAGGUAAAGAAUUGACGAAACUAGUACAAAAUUCGGUUACUUCCGGUAUGCGCAGAAGUUUCGAAAUUGUUUUAUCAAGUAGCCACCACAUGGUUUCCCAAUAGGGCCGAUAAGUCUCGCGACGAUUUCUUCGGUAAUCUACUUCCGGUGACAUGCACCGCGCAUUGCGGAUAAUACGAUGCUUCGCAAGGCAUUAUCAAUGAUGUGUUUGCGGCACCAAUUACUUUUGUUUUACAAAAGAAAAAUAACAGAUAUUUUAGUUUGUUUAUCAAGGUAUGUAAAUCAAUUAUUUAAACAUAUAUCUUAAUAAAAUAUUUCAUUUUAAUAGUAGGCCCUACGGCCCAAGCCUUGGUUUUACAGUUUUAGCCUUUUUCGAUAGGUAGCGGUCUGAGUUAGAUUUGUUUUCAAACAAACCCCAUUACCAGUACAUUAUUCCUCCGCCUGCACAUUUAGUGCUUCGUGAAAUUUAAAUUUUAAUUUCUUGAUUGUAAUAUAAAGUUAAAAGAAUUAUUCCCAUGGGUUAUAAUUAAAAGUACCGGUAAUGCCAAUUUGGAAAAUAUGUUAUUAGUAGGCCUACUUGUGUUUUAAAAUAAAAAAUAAAAACUCAAGUACAUACGCUCACGUAUUACGAUCUCCCUUGAAUUUUUCGACAAGUUAAAACUUUACUUAAUUAGAUGUGUUUUAUUUCAGCAGAUUGGUGGAUUAUAAUAUGAUGGUGAGGAAAUGUUCAAGUUUUUAGGGCAGAGAGGAUGGGCGAAAAACGGCCGUAGCACACGUGGACUGUGUUCUGAUUCAAGAAGUGAACGAAAAGGGAAAAACGUUUGUGACAGGUUAUACCAGAAUUAGAAAGAACUUGGUGUUCUGUUAAAGGUAGCAUUGUAAAUAUUAUAGAAGUUACAAGACAACUGAUGUUUGAAAAGAAGACUAUUUUAAAAUAGAGAGUGAAUUAGAUAUCAAGACUUAAGUUUGGAUUGGCACCAAGUUCAUUUCUCAUAGACUACCAAGAACAUUUGUCAAUGUGCGAAUCAGAACGGAAUAAUUAAUUUUGUUUUUUAAUGGAAAUAAUAAAUUUGAAAUGUGAAUAGUUGUGGAUUUACUUUUGCAAUAAAAUAGACCCACAAAAUCCAAAGAAAUGAAAUGAAAUGGGGUUUAACGUCCUACUAUUCUGCUCCUAUGCUGGGCUAAUGAAGACUGGCAUACGCCAUAUAAUGUGCUAUGAGGGAAAUUUUGCCCGGGCAGCGGCACUAUCGCUUACUCUUAUAUCGAAUUCCAACUGCCAAGGGAUCUUUUACAUGCAUUCUAAUGUAUACACGGGACCUCGGUUUUUCGUAUCAUCUGAAGGACUAGACAGCUGUCCUUGUCAGGCCCUCCGUCCU